GACGAACGCUGGCGGCGUGCUUAACACAUGCAAGUCGAACGGAAAGGCCCUGCUUUUGUGGGGUGCUCGAGUGGCGAACGGGUGAGUAACACGUGAGUAACCUGCCCUUGACUUUGGGAUAACUUCAGGAAACUGGGGCUAAUACCGGAUAGGAGCUCCUGCUGCAUGGUGGGGGUUGGAAAGUUUCGGCGGUUGGGGAUGGACUCGCGGCUUAUCAGCUUGUUGGUGGGGUAGUGGCUUACCAAGGCUUUGACGGAUAGCCGGCCUGAGAGGUGGACCGGCCACAUGGGGACUAAGAUACGGACCAGACUCCUACGGGAGGCAGCAGUGGGGAGUAUUGCACAAUGGGCGGAAGCCUGAUGCAGCAACGCCGCGUGCGGGAUGACGGCCUUCGAGUUGUAAACCGCUUUCGCCUGUGACGAAGCGUGAGUGACGGUAAUGGGUAAAGAAGCACCGGCUAACUACGUG
rnacentral:rRNA from 1 species